GAACGAUGUAUACAUGUACAGUGAACGAUGUAUACAACGAACAAUGUAUACAACGAACAAUGUAUACAACGAACAAUGUAUACAUGUACGGUGAACGAUGUAUACAACGAACAGGUAUACAGUGAACGAUGUAUACCACGAACAGGUAUACAGUGAACGAUGUAUACAGUGAACAAUGUAUAUAGUACAGUGAACGAUGUAUACAACGAACAGGUAUACAGUGAACGAUGUAUAUAGUACAGUGAACGAUGUAUACAUGUACGGUGAACGAUGUAUACAACGAACAGGUAUACAGUGAACGAUGUAUACAACGGACAGGUAUACAGUGAACGAUGUAUACAACGAACAGGUAUACAGUGAACGAUAUAUACAAUGAACAAUGUAUACAAUGAACAAUGUAUACAAUGAACAAUGUAUACCUGCAUUAUUCCUUGAUGGAAGAAUUGGAUUGUUACAUAACGUAUAUAAUUUUAAAUUGUUGCAAACAUUCUGAUUUAAUAAAAAAGACAUUAAUUUA